UACGGGAGGGGCAAGCGUUAUCUGGAAUGAUUGGGCGUAAAGCGUCCGCAGGUGGCUAUGUAAGUCUGCUGUUAAAGAAUCUAGCUUAACUAGAUAAAGGCAGUGGAAACUACAUUGGCUAGAGUACGUUCGGGGCAGAGGGAAUUCCUGGUGUAGCGGUGAAAUGCGUAGAGAUCAGGAAGAACACCGGUGGCGAAAGCGCUCUGCUAGGCCGUAACUGACACUGAGGGACGAAAGCUAGGGGAGCGAAUGGG
rnacentral:rRNA from 1 species